rnacentral:rRNA from 1 species
CCUACGGGGGGCAGCAGUGGGGAAUAUUGCACAAUGGGCGCAAGCCUGAUGCAGCCAUGCCGCGUGUAUGAAGAAGGCCUUCGGGUUGUAAAGUACUUUCAGUCGUGAGGAAGGUGUUAAGGUUAAUAACCUUAGCAAUUGACGUUAGCGACAGACGAAGCACCGGCUAACUCCGUGCCAGCAGCCGCGGUAAUACGGAGGGUGCGAGCGUUAAUCGGAAUUACUGGGCGUAAAGGGCACGCAGGCGGUUAAUUAAGUUGGAUGUGAAAUCCCCGGGCUUAACCUGGGAAUGGCAUUCAAGACUGGUUAGCUAGAGUCUUGUAGAGGGGGGUAGAAUUCCAUGUGUAGCGGUGAAAUGCGUAGAGAUGUGGAGGAAUACCGGUGGCGAAGGCGGCCCCCUGGACAAAGACUGACGCUCAUGUGCGAAAGCGUGGGGAGCAAACAGGAUUAGAUACCCCAGUAGUC